GUAGGUGAACCUGCGGAAGGAUCAUUACAGAGUAACUGCCCUUUGGGUAGAUCUCCACCCUUGCUUAUCAUACCUUUGUUGCUUUGGCGGCCCGCCUCGAUCAGAGCCGCUGGCUUUCAGCUGGUGUGUGGCCGCCAGAGGACCUCCAACUCUCCAUAUAUGUAUCGUCUGAGUCUUAUAUAAUAGUUAAAACUUUCAACAACGGAUCUCUUGGUUCUGGCAUCGAUGAAGAACGCAGCAUCUGACUGAC
rnacentral:misc_RNA from 1 species